AACGAACGCUGGCGGCAGGCUUAACACAUGCAAGUCGAACGCCCCGCAAGGGGAGUGGCAGACGGGUGAGUAACGCGUGGGAACAUACCCUUUUCUACGGAAUAGCUCUGGGAAACUGGAAUUAAUACCGUAUACGCCCUACGGGGGAAAGAUUUAUCGGGGAAGGAUUGGCCCGCGUUGGAUUAGCUAGUUGGUGGGGUAAAGGCCUCCCAAGGCGACGAUCCAUAGCUGGUCUGAGAGGAUGAUCAGCCACAUUGGGACUGAGACACGGCCCAAACUCCUACGGGAGGCAGCAGUGGGGAAUAUUGGACAAUGGGCGCAAGCCUGAUCCAGCCAUGCCGCGUGAGUGAUGAAGGCCUUAGGGUUGUAAAGCUCUUUCACCGAUGAAGAUAAUGACGGUAGUCGGAGAAGAAGCCCCGGCUAACUUCGUG
rnacentral:rRNA from 1 species